rnacentral:rRNA from 1 species
AAUAGAUACCCCGGUAGUCCUAGCCGUAAACGAUGAACACUAGGCGUAGUCGGUAUCGACCCCGGCUGUGCCGUAGCUAACGCAUUAAGUGUUCCGCCUGGGGGAGUACGGCCGCAAGGCUAAAACUCAAAGGAAUUGACGGGGGGCCCGCACAAGCAGCGGAGCGUGUGGUUUAAUUCGUCGCAACGCGAAGAACCUUACCAGGGCUUGACAUGUGGCGGAAAACGGCGGAAACGUCGUCCUCCCGCAAGGGACCGUCAUGCGGGUGUUGCAUGGCUGUCGUCAGCUCGUGUCGUGAGAUGUUGGGUUAAGUCCCGCAACGAGCGCAACCCCCGUGGCAUGUUGUAUCUCUCAUGCCAGACUGCCGAGAGAAACUCGGAGGAAGGUGGGGAUGACGCAAGUCAGCAUGGCCCUUACGUCCUGGGCUACACACACGCUACAAUGGCCGGUACAACGGGUUGCCGAAACCGCGAGGUGGAGCUAACCCCUUAAAGCCGGUCUCAGUUCGGAUUGCAGGCUGCAACUCGCCUGCAUGAAGCCGG